UAUAUAAAUUUUCAUAAUUUUAUGUCAUCUUUAUUUAAAUCACAAGUACAAUUUUGUUGAACAAUUCUGAAACUUCUUCAUCAUCCUUGUGAAUGUUGGUGAAGAUCAAAUGUUAGAAUUUGUUGCACAUCCGUAUAUUGUAGUAUAUUCUUAAUUGUUUUACAUAUAUUUGUUUCUGAUAUAAAAUUAACAAAUGUUAGAUAAGAAAAAUAAUUUAUCAUUUACAAAGAUAAGAAACUAUGUAAACAACACAAACUUUGAACUAGUACAAUUUUUUACUCUUACAAUCCAUCACAAAGAGUGUUUCAACGCUUCUUUAAGUUUCACUUUUUUCAAUCUUAAUGUUUUUAUUAUCAAUGUUUGUGAUUCACAACGUAUCAUCCAAGAUAUAUAGUGUGGUGUUCGCGUUCUGAUUGGUUGUCGCGAGGUUUCACAUGGAUCACUAAUAUUUCUUGUGGAUUAAUGUGUAAGUAGUGUCUUGAGUGUUGAUAUUCAAUAAAUGGACAACAAAGAUUUGUUUAUGAACAAAGCUGUGACAAUUCUUCCCUCGAUUAUUUAUAACAACCGAGACAAAAUGUUAUUUCUUUUGUAAAUUAAAAAUAAAAUAAAAUAAAAACAUUUUCCCUCGGUUUUCAGACAGCCGAAGGAAUAGAUUAUUUAUAUUGUAUACCUAGAAAGAAAAUGAUGUACUAUAAGAUACAUCACUUAAAGAGUUUUACCAUAUACCGUUUUUUUUAGUUGCAGUAUUUCUAAGUAUGAAUAUGAAUAUGUUCCACAAUUUUGUUAGCUAAAAAAAGAACAACAACAUCAUUCUAUGAGAUGGAUUGCAAGGGUAGAAAAAUAUUUUGUUCAAAAUUGGUAAACAACAACAACGACGACAACAACAAUAACAAUAACAAUAACGACAACAACAUAACCUUGAAAGAUUUCCUAUCUAAUUAAGAAAACAUAAAUAUUUUUCUGUCUUUCAUUCUAUCUAAGAGAAUUAUGUUUACGAGUUUGGGUGAUAACAAAUGUGUUGGGUUAGAGCAAAAUUUAAUGAACAAAUUUUUUUAUAGAAAAAAAAUGAGUAAU
rnacentral:lncRNA from 1 species